AUUGUUUAAAAAACAGAGCAAGCUGGAUAAAUCAUUGAAAGAUUGGGCCAAACAUGGCCUUACUUCAUAUUGCACAUUUUUCAGCAAAGGAACCAUGUUUGAUUUUCAAACACUAAAAAAACGAUAUGGAUUGAAUAACGGUGAUUUUUUUUAAUUU